rnacentral:lncRNA from 1 species
GAAGCCGAGGAGAUGGGAAGCGUGGGAGAACGGGAUAGAGGGAAAAUGGGAUAGAGGGAAAAUGGGAUAGAGGAGAGAUGGGAAUAACGGGAAAAUGAGAUUUAGGGAAAAACGGGAAGCCAAGGAGAUGGGAAGUGUGGGAAUAACGGGAUAGAGGAGAGAUGGGUUGCAGGGAAAAUGGGAUACAGGGAAAACGGGAUACAGGGGGAGGUGGGAAAUGGGAAAACGGGAUACAGGUGGAAAAUGGGAUGAAAGAGGAGAUGGGAUGCAGGGAAAAACGGGAUACGUGGGAAAAUGGGAUACAGGGAAAAUGGGAAAAACAGGAAAAUGGGAUGCCGUGGGAGGUGGGAAAUGGGAAAAUGGGAUACAGGAGGAAAAGGGGAUGAAAGAGGAGAUGGGGAACAGGGAAAAUGGGAUACAGGGAAAACGGGAAGCCGAGGAGAUGGGAAGCGUGGGAAUAACGGGAUAGAGGAGAGCUGGGCUGGAAUUCCUGGAGAAUCCCUGGGAGCAUCCGAGGAAAGGCUGGCGCAGCCUGGGAUGGCGGGGUGGGAACGGGAUGGGAUCGAGGAUCCGCGGAUCCCACCCCAAACCAUCCCGGGAUUCCCAGCGCCCCGGGGUGGUGGGAUCCCUGUGGAUGAUCCCUUGGGAAUCUCCCGUUCCCGGUUUAUCCAGCGGGAAUUCGGCUCCCGUGAGUCACCGGAAUGCCCGCGUGGAUCGGGAAUCGGGAUUGGGAAUCAGAGCUGGGAAUGGCGGCUCGGGAUCUGGGAUCUGCUCCCGGGAUCUGGUUUUCCCCGGAUGGCGCCAGGAUUCCCACUGGGUGCGGGAAUGAGCGUCUGGAGGUCAGGAUGAGCUCCAGGGUCAUCCCCCAUUCCCAAAAUUCCCAAAAUUCCUGUGGAAUUCCCGCAUCCCAUUCCCACGGCUGAAUCCCGGGUGACCUCUGGCUCCCCAUUCCCGAAUCCCUGUGGAAUUCCCGCGCCCGGCAGCUUGGGGAUCUGGGAUUUGGGGUUUGGGGAGGAAUGGGAAUUCCAGCGGGAAUUCCAGCGGCACUGGGAGCGUCCGGGCUGGGUCCCGGUGCCGGUCCCGGUGCUGGGGGUCGGUCCC